UUGAAGUUCUCCGCUUAAUGGUUUUACACCUCUAUUAAUCAAAGUUCUCCGCUUCUUCUUCUUCUAACUUCUCUUUUCCUCUUCAAUCGCCACCCUUUUACACCUCCCAGGGAGAAAGUCUGGACGAGCACAACUUUAUCUUGCUACACAUACGAAAAAAGAUGGAUCAUAUGUAAAUGAGGAGGCAAAAAAAAUGUGUAAGUUACAUUCAUGAUUGUUUCUGUUAAUGGGCAUCCUCUUUGUGCCAAAUUAUUUGUUAAGAAAAGGGAUCUUUGGUUGGAAACCUUUCUUCUGCAUGUUUACUGAAGAAGGGGAAAAGUGAAAGAAGUUUUGACAUGAAAAUUUUUGCUGCAUUGAAAGUUGCAUAUCUGGAAUAUUAGCAUGGCACGCUGGCUCCAUUGUUUUCAACAAUCUUUACAAGACUUGUGGUUAGAAUUGUGAGUAAUACUCCAAGCAAUACUUUCAGAGAGACAAAUCUUCGUCUUGGUGAUAUUAGAAUUGUGAGUAAUAAUGUUGGAUGUUCUUCUUCUGGAUGCCAAGAGAAGUACAAUCAAUUGAUGAAUACUCUCAAAGCAUACAUGAUAAUGAAGGAAGGGUCAAUACCAGAACAAUUUGCUGGGAUCUUUGCUUCUCCUCCUAUAACGCCAAGUGAUACAGCCAGUGGACCCAUUUCACCGACGGAUGCAAGAAGAUCUCCUGGCGCUAAUAAUCCCAGUGACAGCCAUUGAGAUUCAUUUUAAUUGAAGUGGGUGUAUUAGGACAAUAUAAUAGCUGACUAAUAUAGACAGUUAACUAUGUUCUA